GUACCGCACCUUCUUGGAGACGCUGGUCUGGGUCCUGCAUAUCAAACUCGUGCCCAUCCUCUACCGCUGGGUUUCCCUCUACCCGGACGAAACGUGGGAUGCAUUCUUGAAAUACUGGAUAUUCGCCUUCCUAGCGAUCUCCGUUGCAACAGGUGUGGGCGUCUUCUCCGACCGGGAUUUGUCGCAUGUGUCCUCCCACGAUUUGCUGGUUCCCGCCUGGUUCACCGCUGUGUUCUGGAGCUGGCUGUAUCUCGCCUACCUAGCGGGGAGCAAAAUAUUCAAAAUCUUGUGGCGCCAAGAGGACCCCGCUGAAGUGAAGGAAUUGAAGAAUUUGAUCUGCUGCGUGGCAUCCUUCGUGGUCAUCAAGAUCAUCAUCGUGGACCUUUGGAAAUUGUCUCUAAAAAUCCGAGCCAGCAAAUCAACCAGGUGGUUUUAGGAGGAAUUCAUACUAUUUAACUGAUCAUUUAAUUUAAUACUUUUUAAAACAUUUAUUAU